AGUGAACGCUGGCGGUAGGCCUAACACAUGCAAGUCGAACGGCAGCACAGUAAGAGCUUGCUCUUACGGGUGGCGAGUGGCGGACGGGUGAGGAAUACAUCGGAAUCUACUUUUUCGUGGGGGAUAACGUAGGGAAACUUACGCUAAUACGGCAUACGAACUACGGGUGAAAGCAGGGGAUCUUCGGACCUUGCGCGAUUGAAUGAGCCGAUGUCGGAUUAGCUAGUUGGCGGGGUAAAGGCCCACCAAGGCGACGAUCCGUAGCUGGUCUGAGAGGAUGAUCAGCCACACUGGAACUGAGACACGGUCCAGACUCCUACGGGAGGCAGCAGUGGGGAAUAUUGGACAAUGGGCGCAAGCCUGAUCCAGCCAUACCGCGUGGGUGAAGAAGGCCUUCGGGUUGUAAAGCCCUUUUGUUGGGAAAGAAAAGCAGCAGGUUAAUACCCCGCUGUUCUGACGGUACCCAAAGAAUAAGCACCGGCUAACUUCGUG
rnacentral:rRNA from 1 species